AACGUCACAAUCUACUAGCAGUAGUUUGUGGUUACUUGCAAACAAAGAAAGGUAUUUCCCCGAGCAUAUCGGCGAUUUUUCUACCCAAAAAGUUUCAUAGAUUUUAUCUGUGAAAUAUUGGCAUCAACUGGAAUUUACUUUUUCAAGACAGACAGCAUAUCAGUAUAAAAACAUGUUCCCCGGAUUCUCGUUGAUGAUAAUGGGAGUGUUCGAAUUACGGAAAUGGUGGGGAAAGAAAAAUUUUAAAAGACAUGAAAAACGUCACAUCAUAAACCCGGAAGAUUUGGGUACUGAUGUAGAUACGGGACUGAAAGAAGAGGAGUUAAAUAGAUUGGUAUCUAAUGAAAUUGACAAUUUGAUUGGCAUUAUCCAAUCUUCAAUGUAGAUGUUGCUUAAUGUAUUACGUUUUAAAUUAAAUUCAUUUUAUAAAAAACAAA